GUAGGUGGCAAGCGUUGUCCGGGAAUUAUUGGGGCGUAAGGCGCGCGCAGGCGGUUCUUUAAGUCUGAUGUGAAAGCCCACGGGCUCAACCGUGGAGGGUCAUUGGAAACUGGAGAACUUGAGUACAGAAGAGGAAAGCGGAAUUCCACGUGCAGCGGUGAAAUGCGUAGAGAUGUGGAGGAACACCAGUGGCGAAGGCGGCUUUCUGGUCUGUAACUGACGCUGAGGCGCGAAAGCGUGGGGAGCAAACAGGAUUAGAUACCCUGGUAGUCCACGCCGUAAACGAUGAGUGCUAAGUGUUAGGGGGUUUCCGCCCCUUAGUGCUGCAGCUAACGCAUUAAGCACUCCGCCUGGGGAGUACGGCCGCAAAGGCUG
rnacentral:rRNA from 1 species